AACGAACGCUGGCGGCAGGCUUAACACAUGCAAGUCGAGCGCCCCGCAAGGGGAGCGGCAGACGGGUGAGUAACACGUGGGAACCUUCCUAGAGGUACGGAACAACUCAGGGAAACUUGAGCUAAUACCGUAUACGCUCUUGCGAGGAAAGAUUUAUCGCCUUUAGACGGGCCCGCGUCGGAUUAGCUAGUUGGUGGGGUAACGGCCUACCAAGGCGACGAUCCGUAGCUGAUCUGAGAGGAUGAUCAGCCACACUGGGACUGAGACACGGCCCAGACUCCUACGGGAGGCAGCAGUGGGGAAUCUUGGACAAUGGGCGCAAGCCUGAUCCAGCCAUGCCGCGUGAGUGAAGAAGGCCUUCGGGUUGUAAAGCUCUUUUGCCAGGGACGAUAAUGACGGUACCUGGAGAAUAAGCCCCGGCAAACUUCGUGCCAGCCGCCGCGGUAA
rnacentral:rRNA from 1 species